CUCACAUGAGAAUAUCUAUAGACACACAGGCAUACUCAUAACUUAAAAAUCACCAGGCCUGGUGGUGCAUGCCUUUAAUACCAGCACUUGGGAAGUAGAGGUUGGCAGAUCUGAGUUCCAGGAAAGCCUGAUCUACACAGAGAAACCCUGUCUUGAAACACCCCCCUCCCCCAAAAGGGGAAAGAAAGCCGGAAUCCCAGAAGGCAGGAUUGCAGGUUCAAGGCCAGACAGGGAUAGAUAUCCUGUCUAAAAGGUGAGAUCCGUGGGUGUCUGUAGAACAGCUGGACGGAGGAGUGGCCUGAGGCAGCUGGAUCUCUGCCUUGUACCUGAUUCCUCUCCCUCUGAAGUCCUAGCUGGGAACCCAAGAAGCCACAGGGAGGAGAGCUGUCCCUUUUAUCUUCCUGGGAGCAUCCAGCAAAGAGGACCAGGCAAGGGACACAGCAGAGCCAUUUGCUGACUGCCACUUCCCUCACCCACAAAACUGGGGCAAUAAGGUUAUCUCUUGCCACAGCAGAGACAGGGUUCUACAGAUGCUAGGCCUUGGCAUGGAACCUGGUAGGUAACUUUUAAACAGCAUGGUUAUUCUUAGAAUGUAAAUGGGAAGAAACUGGGUUGAGACAGCCAGGCAAACCCUGGAAUAACCACAUCCAGAAAGCAGCUGUCCUUUAAGCACUCCCACAAAAAAACCCCUUUGUCCCACCAGAGUGGAUUUCAGGUGUUAUUCACAAAAAUACCACUUCUUAAAAGCAUACUUAGAGGAUCUACCUACCUAUCACCCAUUUCUGUUUUGAAAACAUUUAACUUUUUAUUUUAUGUGCAUUGGUGUGAAGUGUCAAAUCCCCCGGAACUGGACAGCAGUGAGCUGCCAUGUGGGUGCUGGGAAUUGAAGACAAGUUCUCUAGGAGAGCAGUCAGUGCUCUUAACCACUGAGCCAUCUCUCCAGCCCCUUAUUUCUCUUUUCAAAAUUCAGCCCAUGUGUCCAGAUAUGGUGGCAAGCACCUUGAAUCCCAGUACUCAGAGGCAGGUGGAUCUAGCUCUGCAGUUUGAGGGAAUACCAAGUGGUGCACAUACACAGGUAAAAUAAACCUAAAACUCAGGCUUUGGGCUCAUACAGUAAAAGCACUACCACACAAGCCCAAGUGUGAUCCUGACCCCUGAAACAAAAUCUCAGUACCAAGUUGUCUUAGGACCUUCACAUCCUUGUGACAGGUUGCCUAGCGUGUUUUAAGAGUCUAGAUUUGGUACCCUGAAUCGAAGUGUCCUGCAGAUGCCAAAGUGAACCUCCAGGUAGCCAUUUGAUGGCUGUUAAGUCCUGGUUCUCUUUACUAAACACUAAUCAAGGAAUGACCAUAGAAACCGUGGGGGAGGUACUCCUGUGAAAAACAACAGAAAAGGGUUUAUUCUAGUUCAGUUUACAGGGUCACUGCAGCCCAAGUUAAAGCCUUUAUCCUGAUGGGGCCCAGACUAUAAACUGUGCCACUCAGUCAAGUCUCACCUCAGCUGAGUUAGCCAUGACUCACCCAAGAUGGCCACUCCAGCUGGGAGUCUUUCACAAGCUGGGUAACCAAGUGGUAGGUACCAGCACUCAAGUGCCAACACCACCCUGCCUUCUCUAGCCAAGUGUCUUAUUCAAAGUUUGGACGGGAGGGAGGGAACUGAGGCACCAAGCAGGAAAAGGAAUAUCACUGACUCAGGCCACCCUGAUGUUUGGACUAAUAAAAAGGACGGCGGGCUUAGAGUAAUUCAGACUGACAGUCUGAUCCUAGGCAGAACAAAUGGGAAUAUGUAAGUGAAGAAGCUACAUUGGGGACCAGAUCCUACGAUUAUCCACGGUAGACACAUGAAAUACAGGGCUGGUAAGUUACCUGGUCAGAUUUUUAUUUCUACAGACAGGAGGCCAAAGGUGUCUGUUAUUUAGUAUUUCCAGUGAAAGCACACACUAUACCAUACCCAAGUCUAGAAAGAAAACUCCUUUUGGAUUAUACAUAGCCCUUGGUCCUCAUGGAACAGGGCCAGCAGGAAGCGGCGCUGAUCAAGGUCUGUGCUCCAGAGAAGUGCCUAAAAAGAAAGGAGCCAGAAGGUCAGUAGUCUUGUCUAGCAUGAACUGCAUCACAUAACAUUGGAUACCAGGGCAAAAUGCCUGGUAACUUCUGAUGGUACAUCCCUUCACCUUAUUCACUUAACAGCAAGCACAGUGAUGAGUGAAUGCUUCUAUAUUGAGUUCAAAAAGCUAAGGGGAGAGGGGCUGGAGAGAUGGCUCAGAGGUUAAGAGCACUGGCUGCUCUCCCAGAGGUCCUGAAUUCAAUUCCCAACAACUACAUGGUGGCUCACAACCACCUAUAAUGAGAUCUGGUGCCCUCUUCUGGCCUGCAGGCAUACAUGUAGACAGAACACUGUAUACAUGAUAAAUAAACCAAAAAAAAAAAAAAAAAGACGCCAGGCAUUGGUGGCACACGCCUUUAAUCCCAGCACUCAGGAGGCAGGUGGAUCUGAGUUCAAGGCCAGCCUGGUCUCCAGAGUGAGUGCCAGGAUAGGCUCCAAAGCUACACAGAGAGACCCUGUCUCGAAACGCCAAAAAAGGGGGGGGGGGCAAAAAGCUAAAAGGGAAGAAACUAGUACUAGCAUCUCUAAGAUUGGGUCAAAGCCAUUAGCAACAGAAACUCACCGGUUUCAGGACACUGAAAUCAAGCAAGAGCAGAUCCACACACUGGCAUCCAUGGCUCCCUCAGGCCUGUACAAAGCAAAAAUGAAGCCAUUAUCAUAAAUGAAACAGAUCAAGGCCAAAACAAGAACUAUUACUGGGGCCAAUGCAUCAGACAAAACUGGCUAUUAGCUUAUGAGAUCAACAGGGUCGAUCUGAUGGGGAAAAAAGUAAUGUCAUCAGCUGCAUCAGCCAAACUGUCAAAAGAAACAGUUUCAUAGAGAUCCCAUGCCCAGUGGAGGACACAUGGGCACCACUUACCAAUCCUGUCUGACUUCCGGAUUCUUUCUCCAUUCAAAACCUCGUCUUGGCUGUCAGCAAACCUGACACAAAAAGCAGAAAAGAAUCAGCUCCCUGGACUAAGCAGAGGACAUAGCAAGCACCAGCAGGUGCUGCUCUAGCAGGCAUGUCAGACAAACUGGCUUGGAAGAGUGAGAUCAACAUGGUCGAUCUGAUGGGGAAAAAAGUUCCGUCAUCAUACAUGCCUGGUCACUUCUGAGUCUAGUCCUGCAUGUGCAGGCAGCUAGUUGGUAGAGCUAUAUCUAUAUAUCCCUCCUUUGCAAGUAAGGAUUGUAAAAGCAAAGUUUGUAACUGCUAAGAUUUGCUGAACUGUUAAUUCUCAAUUGCCUUGUCUAGGAAACUUUCACCUACAGGAAAAUGUGCCCCAGGAAAGCUGGCUGUUCCCACCACUAGUGAAGAUGGUUAAGGCCCACUGCAGCACAAACCACACCUAAGGGUACAACUGGCUUGACCGCUACACUUCACAUGCAAAACAAUGUCGUACCAUUGAGACAUCUAAACGUGAUGCAGCCCCGACUAGCCUCAGAUCUAGGCUACUAAUAUUUAUGAAGACUCAGAUCGGCUCUCAACGUAAGACUCUGCAGUGCUUACAGGCAUGUAAACUCAAGUUAUAGCAUUCUUAGAAAAUGCUGAGAAAAGACUGGCGGUGCAUGCCUUUAAUCCUAAUACUCAUGAGACAGUCUGAUCUACUGAUGGAGUUCCAGGACAGGCUGCAAAGCUACUCAGAAACCUUAUCUCUAAAGACAGAAAAAGGAAACCAUGAAAUCCCAAUUUAGUGGGGAGUUGGUGGUACACACCUUUAAUUCCAGCACUCAGGAGGCAGAGGUAGGCGGAUCUCUGUGAGUUCAAGGCCAGACUGGUUUCCAGGGGGAGUGCCAGGAUAGGCUCCAAAGCUACAGAGAAACCCUGUCUCGAAAAACCACAAAAAAAAAAAAAUCCCACCAACUUGAGAUGAUGAGGCUCAGACAUUACCUAUCCACAACCGGCUGAGCCCUCCUGUAUCAAUCACUAAGAAAAUGUGGGCUGGGCGUUGGUGGCACACGCCUUUAAUCCCAGGACUGAGGAGGCAAAGGCAGGCGUGCACUACCACCGCCCAGCUUAAAUUUAUCUUUAUUACUUUAUGUGCAUUGGUGUUUUUUCCGCAUGCAUGUUCGUGUGAGGUGUCAGGUCCGGAAAUCACAGUUGUUAACUGCCACAUGGGUGUUGGGAUUUGAACCCUGGCUCUCUGGAAGAGCAGUCCAGCGCUCUUAUACCACUGAACCAUUUCUCUGGCCCUGAGAUUGCCUUUUCUAGUUGCCAAAAAAUAAACUGACCAGGACUGGGAUCUGCAUCACCCGGAACUGGAGAUACCACUAUGAUGGAAUGAAAAUUGAGGCUUUCUAAAAGCAAUCUACAUGUUUCUCUUAAACCUGUCCAUUCACUAGGAUGCACCAAUAGUAAAAGUUCAGAGGCAAGACACGUGCCCUGCAUUAAUGAGGGUUCCAUCCCUAGCACUGGCAAACCUAUCUCACAGCAUCAAAUCUUGCAUUUGAAUUCUAAAUCACAACCAAUUUAAAAGCUCUUAAUGUUUCCUAUGUUAAGCCAUUAGACAAAUCGCACCUUGAAGAGAUUAGGAGGUCGAAGACCGCAGAUGUAUUCUCUCAUCUCCCUGGAGGCGCAAAGGUGCCGUCUUCUAUCCCUCCAACCCCUGCUCCGUGUCGCUUCAUCAAGCCAACCUGCAAAAUAAAGGCGUCAAUCGCCAUCUUCCCUCGAUCAGAGAACAAAGCAGACCAAGGCCUUUGGGGGGCUGGUGUAUCAGGACUAACUGGCAAAGUAUUUUAAGAGAUCAGCAUCGUCGAUAUGACGGGGAAAAAAGCGAUGUCAUCAUUUACACCAGCCACGCGUUCUCCAGGCCCAACCUGAAAGCCUCUUUUACAUCUAAUCCACUUCUCCCCUAAGGUCAACCCGGGGCUGGCGCCGGACAGGCCACGCCGCCAGACUAUAGCAGAUUACAGCAUAAACUUGGUACAAGGUGCACAGAAAAUUGUACCGCGGGGCCUCAGCUCACCAUCCGCAAAUAACUCCCGCGUGGACGAGACAUCGCACACAAAAGGGACACCAGGGCGUCUCAGGAACGAAAGAACGACGGCGAUGGCGGACCUUCCUUAUAUAGACCAAGGCGACGCAGGCGCCUGCGCACUGGGCCUCAGGCGCGCCGCUUCCGGCCGCGGCCGCUACGCCCCCUGGGAAAUAUAGUUCCCGAGCCGCCCGGCCCCCGCUCGCUAAUGGUUGUCCGGCCGGCUUCUAGCCCCUCCCCGUGCUCACUGGGCCUCCGGGGCUGCUCGGCCUCCGCGCCAUGUCGCGCUUGGCACGCACGAGCCGCCCGCCGCGGCCCCCCUACUCCGGGGCCGGCCCAGACCUGCGGCCGCCCGGGGCGCAGUCAGCCCGCCCCCCGCCGCGCCCUCCCCUCAGCCGCGCCCGCGGGAGCCGCCG
ensembl:lncRNA